GAGCUUUGGUGUAUCGUGGCUGG
rnacentral:siRNA from 1 species